GUGGCAGAUGAAAAGCCCAAGGAAGGAAUCGAGACUGAGAACAAAGAUCAUAUUAAUUUGAAGGUGGCAGGGCAGGAGGGUUCUGUGGUGCAGUUUAGGAUUAAGAGGCAUACACCACUUAGUAAACUAAUGAAAGCCUGUUGUGAACGAUAGGGAUGGUCAAUGAGACAGAUCAGAUUCCAAUUUGACAGGCAACCAAUCAAUGAAAGAGACACACCUGCUCAGUUGGAAAUGGAGGAUGAAGAUACAACCGAUAUGUUCCAACAGCAGUCAGGGGGUGUCUACUAA
rnacentral:lncRNA from 1 species